rnacentral:misc_RNA from 1 species
GAUGAAGAACGCAGCGAAAUGCGAUAAGUAAUGUGAAUUGCAGAAUUCAGUGAAUCAUCGAAUCUUUGAACGCACAUUGCGCCCGCUAGUAUUCUGGCGGGCAUGCCUGUUCGAGCGUCAUUUCAACCAUCAAGCACAGCUUGGUGUUGGGACUCGCGUUAAUUCGCGUUCCUCAAAUUGAUUGGCGGUCACGUCGAGCUUCCAUAGCGUAGUAGUAAAACCCUCGUUACUGGUAAUCGUCGCGGCCACGCCGUUAAACCCCAACUUCUGAAUGUUGACCUCGGAUCAGGUAGGAAUACCCGCUGAACUUAAGCAUAUCAAUAAGCGGAGGA